rnacentral:lncRNA from 1 species
GCGGGAAUUGCGCGUCCCGGUAUGCACCGUGCUCCGUGGCGAGACGGGCCUAUAAUGUGGCCCUCACGGUUCGGGUUCGUUUGUUUCAGAAGCUCGUUAAAGUUCGUUGUGUUAGGUGCGCGAAUCUCGCGGUUGUUCUGGAGCAGCACGACGUGCCUCAGACCGUAAGGUCCCGCCUACCGUGCAGUGAGUCGUUCACAGCUGCAGAAGGGAAAUCCCAACGACGUGAGUGAUUUUAUUUCAAAGCACACAGGUGAGCUCACCCAACUGCAGAAUUUGUACCAGCCACAGACAGCACAAGAACACAUUGGUGCCAUCAGUCUUCCCAGAACCGUUGGAGCAGCACAGAGUGCAGUAAUGGGCUUCACUGGAGCCACAGCCACAUCACACCCCAGACUUGCAAGGUGCUGUGUCAAUAUGCCAACUCCCUGAGAGCUGUCCUGCUGAUGAAGAGAGGACAAGAUUCCCAGACAGAGUAAGUUGAUCUGGCCCAGAAUUAAAUAAGG